GUGUGACAGGGUCAUCCCGAGUGCCGACCGCUGAGGUUGGCUUUUACCCAGUCUAGAAAGCUGGGGGAAUAAGGAGAGAGCAAGUCUGGUGUCAGCCGCCGCGGUAAUACCAGCUCUCCGAGUGGUGUGGACGUUUAUUGGGCCUAAAGCAUCCGUAGCUGGCUGAACAAGUCCCCUGUUAAACCCACCGAUUUAAUCGUUGGCUUGCGGGGGAUACUGCUCGGCUAGGGGACGAGAGAGGCAGACGGUAUUCCCGGGGUAGGGGUGAAAUCCUAUAAUCCCGGGAAGACCACCAGUGGCGAAGGCUGUCUGCUAGAACGCGCCCGACGGUGAGGGAUGAAAGCUGGGGGAGCGAACCGGAUUAGAUACCCGGGUAGUCCCAGCUGUAAACGAUGCAGGCUAGGUGUUUGGACGGCCACGUGCCGUUCUAGUGCCGCAGGGAAGCUGUUAAGCCUGCCGCCUGGGGAGUACGGUCGCAAGAUUGAAACUUAAAGGAAUUGGCGGGGGAGCAC
rnacentral:rRNA from 1 species